rnacentral:tRNA from 2 species
UGUUAGCUCAGUUGGUAGAGCAACUGACUCUUAAUCAGUGGGUCUAGGGUUCGAGUCCCU